GGGUCUGUGACAACAAACCUAUGUCAUGAACAGAGAUGGUGAUAUAAAAAUCAUGUUCCAAAGAAUGAUGCUGAGGAUC